UACGUAGGGAGCAAGCGUUGUUCGGAUUUACUGGGCGUAAAGGGCGCGUAGGCGGCAAAUCAAGUCAGCUGUGAAAUCUCCGAGCUUAACUCGGAACGGUCAGCUGAUACUGAUCGACUCGAAGGCAGGAGAGGGUAGUGGAAUUCCCGGUGUAGUGGUGAAAUGCGUAGAUAUCGGGAGGAACACCAGUGGCGAAGGCGACUACCUGGCCCAAUACUGACACUCAGGUGCGACAGCGUGGGGAGCAAACAGG
rnacentral:rRNA from 1 species